CUCACCUGCCGAAUGGACUGGCCCUGAAAAUGGAUGGUGCUCCAGCGCGUGGCUGAGACUAUCCCACCUACUUUUGAGCAAAAGCCCAUGAUGUGUAGGAGGGUAUGGGAGUUUGCAAUGAAUUGCCUGGCAAGAACCUGCAUGGAGCAGCUUCUGGUGCAGAUCUUGGUGGUAGUAGCGGAUAUUCCAGUGAGACCUUUGAAGACUGAGGUGGAGAAGGGUUUCAUGUGAACAGCACUUGGACAUGGGUUAGCCGAACCUGAUGGAGCCAGAUUCUGCCAAUGAGGCCUUGCCUGCUCCUUGACAGAGAAUGGGGUUAACAUUCCUCAGCCAGGACGUGGAUAAUGCAUGGUGACAUAAGCCAACUUGGCAAUACAGGGGGAAGCCUUUGGAAGCGUUAUCUCUUCUUUUUGAUGGUGUAGUGCCCUGGAAUCAGAUUGUUUGGUGGUAGGGAUUGUUGAUGAGCAGAGCACCUUGUUUGCUGAGGUAUCUCAGUGUGCUUCCAGUGGUCCAUGAAAAGCCUGAGGAAGGACUUAUUCACCCCCCUGGUCGUGCCCACAACCGCAUCAGGUCUCCCAGGUUAGCUGCCUCUGGUCUGUGGAAUGAACUGGGUGAGGGAAGUCGGCAAAUUGGAUCUGGAACUUUGGGAAAAGGAUUGGCUCUGAGGGGUGGGUG
rnacentral:rRNA from 1 species